AGAAUUCUUAACCUACAUCAAAGCAGAAAGAUCUCUUCAAUGGACUAGACCUCACAAAGGCAAAAGAUUGCUGUACACAGCCAUAACCUCGGCAAUACCUGAGAGCCUGGGCUAAAGAGACUCCAAAGAGAUGAAGGACGUUGGCCUCCCCAUUAUGGAAGGAAUAGUAACACCACUGAAUGUACAUCUAUACGUCAUCUCGCUUUUAGGUAUUCCCAAUGGUGCCCCACAUAGGAAGAUCCAUUGCAUGGGAUGACAAUGAAAGCUCUUCACUAAGGUUUGAAGCUUAUUUAUGCUAGAGAAGGAAAUGAGAAAUCAGUGGAGUAAAAGACGAUGUGAAAGCCAAGAGGGACAGCGAGAGAGGAAACGCAAGCAAGGGGAGCAGGAGAGGGAGAAGCAG